rnacentral:rRNA from 1 species
AGCGAACGCUGGCGGCAGGCUUAACACAUGCAAGUCGAACGGGCACUUCGGUGCUAGUGGCAGACGGGUGAGUAACACGUGGGAACGUACCUUUCGGUUCGGAAUAAUCCAGGGAAACUUGGACUAAUACCGGAUACGCCCUUCGGGGGAAAGAUUCAUCGCCGAUAGAUCGGCCCGCGUCUGAUUAGCUAGUUGGUGAGGUAAUGGCUCACCAAGGCGACGAUCAGUAGCUGGUCUGAGAGGAUGAUCAGCCACAUUGGGACUGAGACACGGCCCAAACUCCUACGGGAGGCAGCAGUGGGGAAUAUUGGACAAUGGGCGCAAGCCUGAUCCAGCCAUGCCGCGUGAGUGAUGAAGGCCUUAGGGUCGUAAAGCUCUUUUGUCCGGGAAGAUAAUGACUGUACCGGAAGAAUAAGCCCCGGCUAACUUCGUG